AUCCACCGAGAGAACCUUCAUCUCCUCCGGGAACCUAUCCCGCACUCCAUCACUCUCCAACUUGGAGCUUCCGUAGCUACUUUCAGGCGGACGACCGAAAACGGGUCGGACUUGUCCGGAUCGGUUUAGUUUAUAGAUCGACUCCGAAACCCGUGUCCUCUCCCCGUUCACCCUCAAAACCUCGGCUGAGUCGUCCGCCGUCACCACGACCGAAACCCUAACAACAUUUUCCGCAAUGCCAAGAGAAGCUCUAGAGUUCUUUGCCAAGCUCCAAAAGCUCUCCCGCUUCCCCUCCCACUACGCCUGCAAUCGCCACCUCCACCGCCUGACCACCGGCUCCCUCGGCGACGUCGCCCUCAAGCUCCUCUGCGCUCUCGUCUCCCGUGGAUUCCGCCCCGAUAUUUCUGCCCUCAAUUCCGCCGUCUCCCUCCUCGCCAGGAACGGUGGCCCCCGGUCCGCCCAGGCCUUCGUGGACGCCGCUUUUCCCGUCCUCGGCUGCACCCCCGAUGUCGUCACCUUUAACUCCCUCGUCGACGGUUACUGUCGUGCCGAUGACUUGCUCGGUGCCUCCGUCAUCUUGAGGAGUAUGCAGUCGUGUGGGCCCCGUCCCGACGUCGUCACCUACAACACAUGAUGAGCUCCUUCGGCAAGCACAGAAUGCCUCGGUCGGUCUUGAGCUACUUUGCAUUGAUGUCGAAGGCUCACGCCCCGACAGUGCUUACUUAUACCAUUCUCGUCACUAUGUUCCGCGAAUUGGGCGACUUAAGAAUGGGGUAUUUCGCGCUGAAUGAUAUGCAAUUCUUAGGGAUUUCUCCAAAUUUGGUAACUUUCACCUGUUUGAUCGAUGGUUGCUGUAAGAACAAUCGUUUGGAUAUGGCACUGGAGUUGUAUGAUCGUAUGACAAGUCUUUCCGUGCCACCAAAUGUAUUUACUUUCAAUGCACUUGUUGAUGCUCUCUGUAAGAAGGGGAUGCUGGAGAGAGCGACAGAGAUGUUUGAAAAGAUGCACAAGAUCGGGGUGCUGGCAAAUGUGGUGGUUUACACUUCCUUGAUAGAUGGGUACUUAAAGAAAUGAGAUUUUGACACGGCAGUGAGAUAUUUGAAUAGAAUGUAUGACAGGGGAAUCUGUCUCAAUGUGAAGGGAUAUGGGGUGGUUCUUUGGGGACUUUGCAAUAACGUCAGUUGUAUAGAGCUUUAGAGAUGAGAAAGGAGAUGGAGGGAAGAGGCCUGAUUCCGGAUAAAUUUAUCCUUACCAAUCUGAUGGAUGCCCAUUUCAAAGCAGGGGAUGUGAAGAAGAGCUUGGACUUGCAUAAAGAAAUGCUCAUUAAUGGUUUUGAGCCUGAUGUGGUCACUACUUCGGCAGCAAUUGAUGGGCUUUGCAAGCAUGGGCUAUUGCAGGAGGCAAAUGAAUAUCUUGUGAAAGCAAAAGAAGCUAAUGAGAUUACCUAUACCACACUUGUCGAUGGGCUGUGCAAGCAAGGGAAUAUAAAUGAUGCUGAUAAGGUUUUUAUGGAUAUGCCAAAAGCUGGUCUAGCUCUAGAUAAGUUUAGCUACACUUCAAAAAGUGCUGGCCACUGUAGAGAAGGGAAUAUAGUGGAGGCAUUGAGACUUAAAAGAUUGAUGCUUCAAAAGGGUAUUUAUCCUGAUCUGCUUACUUUCAGCUCACUUAUAUGGGGUUUGGCAACUAAAGGGUUUAUGAUUGAGGCAAAGCAGGUUUUUGAUGAUAUGCUAAGCAGAGGGAUUGCUCCAGAUGCUGUGGUGUAUGAUAUUUUGAUCAGAGGUUACCUCAUGCAGAAUGAUAUUUCGGCUGCCUCAAAUUUGGAAGAAGAUAUGAAAAAGAGGGGUCUUAUUACUGAGGAUACACCACUAAUGAGUAGUGCAUAUUCAUCCACAUAGGUUUCUUGAGAUUCUGUAGUAUGGGAACUUCACCAAGGUUUGAUCAAUUCGUCAAAUAAGCAAUUUGUUGAUGAAAUGCAUUUUUUCUCUAUGUCCAUCUUUUAACUCUUCAAGGGCUGCCAGUCUGCUAACUUGAUCUGGCAUUUGGCAUGACCAGAUUAAAUGCAUGAUCUUUGCGGGGUAAACUUGCAAGAACUAGUUCUGCUUCUAGGAGCAAAAACUUGUCUGAUACUCUGACCAUUGCUGGCUAUCAGAUGAUCAAGGUUAGAAUGUCAUGCUACACUGCAUAGAAGAAAAGGGAUACAAAGUUAUCUUAGCAGAGAUUAUGGUUGCUGCAUCUUAAUUGUUUCUUAAACUACCUUUGUUUCUCGUUCACUAAUAGGGAUACUCUAACCAUUGUUUUACCCGUAAUUCUGUAUGAUGAAGGAGUCUGUCAAGAACGAUCCAUAAAAAAAUGAGGGCAGAAGGUUUGAGCAUUUUAGGGAAUCUUUCAUGUAAUUUAUUACACACAUGAUUUCAUGCCUUAAUCAAGAGGUUUUGAGGUUCCAGUAGCUGCAAGUAGAUCAUAUUGACCCAGUGAACAAUUUUAUGUUGUUCAUUUUCCUUUUGAUCUUUUACUGCAAGGCAUGUUCAUGUUGUAAAUAAGUUUAGGUGAAUGUGUUGUUGGAUUUUGAUUCUUUCAAGACCAGUAUAUCUAAACUGCAGGCAAGCAGUAAAUGGAGAGUUUCAUUGCAUGAACUUGGUACCUGCUGCUAUCCUUUAACAAAAUUGACUGAUGCUGUUGCUUGCUCACAUGCACCUUAGUUCCAUAGAUGGUUUUUCUAGUUCUGGAUUUCAGGCAUAGGCAGCCAAGGAUGGAGGUAGAGGCAAAAUCAUCUUUUGAGAAAAAAAUGACACUUUGUGGAAAUUUUUGAAAGAGGAGGUGCUAACUGAGAGUUUCUCAAAAUAAGGGGCUUUUUUUGAAAAAUUAUCCAAUAUACAUUCAUAAAUAUAUAUAUAUAUAUGUAUAUAUAUAUAUGUAUAUAUAUAUAUGUAUAUAUAUAUAUAUGAGAGUUGAAAUGAUGAAUUGCGUCCAUGAAUUUUUUUUACUAUUUGCAUGAUUGCAUAAUAUUUUGUAUGGCAUAAACCACCUUUGGGUUGCUGACAUGAAACCCUAGAGAGCUUGUUGUAACACAGUGGACGGAUGUAAAUUUGAAACAGGGCCCUUACUAUUGCUCUGCUGGUGCUGACAAAGCUUUUGGCCCUGACAUUGUUGAUGCCCUUUACACAGCCUGUCUCUAAGCAGGAAUCAACAUUAGUGGCAUCAAUGAAGAGGUGAUGCCAGGCUAGCAGUGGGAGUUUCAAGUAGGCCCUUGUUGGCAUCUCAGCUGGUGACCCGUUGUGGGUUGCUCACUACAUAUUUGAGAUCUCUCUGUGAACAGCGAAUUACCGAGAUAUUUGGAAUGGUGCUUUCCCUUGGACCCAAAGCUGAUUCAGGUGAUUGGAAUGGUGCUGGCGCUCACACAAAUUACAGCACCAAGUUCAUGAGUAAUGGAGGGCACAGAGUCAUCAAGGAGGCAAUUCAGAAACUUGGCCUAAGGCACAUGGAGCACAUAGCUGCCUAUGGAGAAGGGAACGAAUGACGGCCCAUGGGGUGCCAUGAGACUGCUGAUAUCAACACCAUUUGGGGAGUUGCAAACUGUGAGGCAUCGAUUUGUGUUGGACGUGACACUGAAGUCUGGCAAAGGCCUGUUUCCAACAUGGAUCCUCAUGUUGCCACUUCUAUGAUUGCAGAGACUACCAUCCUUUGGAAAGUUUACUUGCAAGUGAUCAGCUGUUUGUGUCUCAUAUCUACUGGAUCUUUGCCUGUGGGGUUGGUUCUUUUGCAUUACAUGUAAUAGCUUAGAGGGAAUGAUUGUGUUGUGUUGAAGAUGAGGCAGGAAAUUUAGAUUGAGUUGGACUUGAUCCAUUUUCCUGCCUUAGUUGUCACUUCUUGUUCCAUUUAUAUCAGUAAUGAACGUACAUUACCAGCA